rnacentral:misc_RNA from 1 species
UACGAAGGGCCCGAGCGUUAUUCGGAAUCACUGGGCUUAAAGCGUACGUAGGCGGAUGUGCAGGCAUCUUGUGAAAUCCCUCGGCUCAACCGAGGAACUGCUUGGUGAACCGCACGUCUUGAGGCAGAGAGAGGCUGUCGGAACGAUAGGUGGAGCGGUGAAAUGCGUAGAUAUCUAUCGGAACGCCAAAGGUGAAGACAGGCAGCUGGCUCUGUUCUGACGCUGAGGUACGAAAGCGUGGGUAGCGAACGGG